AGAGUUUGAUCAUGGCUCAGAACGAACGCUGGCGGCGUGCCUAACACAUGCAAGUCGAACGCGAAAAGCAGUAAUGCUGAGUAGAGUGGCGCACGGGUGAGUAACACGUAACUGACAUGUCCUAGAGACAAGGAUAACCGUUCGAAAGGAUGGCUAAUACUUGGUAAGCCCACGAAUUAGGAUUUGAGGGAAAAGGAUCGGGAUUUUUCGAAACCAGUCGCUUUAGGAGUGGGUUGCGGCCCAUCAGCUAGUUGGCGGGGUAAAAGCCCACCAAGGCUAAGACGGGUAGCUGGUCUGAGAGGAUGAUCAGCCACACUGGAACUGAGACACGGUCCAGACUCCUACGGGAGGCAGCAGUGGGGAAUCUUGCGCAAUGGGGGAAACCCUGACGCAGCAACGCCGCGUGGGUGAUGAAGGUCUUCGGAUCGUAAAGCCCUGUCGAAGGGGAAGAUGCUUGGUAUGGCUAAUAUCUUUACCAGGUGACGGUACCCUUAAAGGAAGCACCGGCUAACUCUGUGCCAGCAGCCGCGGUAAUACAGAGGGUGCAAGCGUUGUUCGGAAUUAUUGGGCGUAAAGGGAGUGUAGGCGGUUAUCUAAGUCUUCUGUGAAAUCUACGGGCUUAGCCUGUAACGUGCAGAGGAAACUGGGUGACUAGAGUGUCGGAGAGGAUAGGGGAAUACCCAGUGUAGAGGUGAAAUUCGUAGAGAUUGGGUGGAACACCAGUGGCGAAGGCGCCUGUCUGGCUGACAACUGACGCUGAGACUCGAAAGCAUGGGGAGCAAACAGGAUUAGAUACCCUAGUAGUCC
rnacentral:rRNA from 1 species